rnacentral:rRNA from 1 species
GUACACGCUGUGACUAGCAUAUCAAUAAGCGGAGGAAAAGAAACUAACAAGGAUUCCCCUAGUAACGGCGAGUGAAGCGGGAAGAGCUCAAAUUUGAAAUCUUAAAGGGUUUCCCUUUACGAAUUGUAGUUUAAAGAAGUGUUUUCUGUUGAGGUUUUGGUGAAAGUUCUUUGGAAUAGGACAUCAUAGAGGGUGAGAAUCCCGUAUUUGACCUUUACUUUCAACUUUGUGAUACACUUUCAAAGAGUCGGAUUGUUUGGGAAUGCAGUCCAAAAUGGGUGGUAAAUUUCAUCUAAAGCUAAAUAUUGGCGAGAGACCGAUAGCGAACAAGUACCGUGAGGGAAAGAUGAAAAGAACUUUGAAAAGAGAGUUAAACAGUACGUGAAAUUGUCAAAAGGGAAGCGUUUGACACCAGUGUUGUUUUUCUGAAAAUCAAUUAAAGAACUGUUUAUGCUAAGUUGUUUAGACUUUAUCAGCUAACUGUUUAGUCUUGAGCUUUUCUUUAAUGCACUUUUCAGUUAACAAGUCAACAUCAAUUUCUUUUGCUGUAAAAAAGCUUGAGGAAGGUGGCUUGAGAUUCGUCUUAAGUGUUUAUAGCCUCUUGCCUAUGCAGUCGGAGAGAUUGAGGUCUGCAGCGUAGAUCCUUCGGGGCUAAAUGCAUUUGUGCUAAGUUAUAGCAUUUUAUAGACAACUUGUUGACUAUGAUUUGUCUUGUAGCUUACUCGCUUAUGUUAUUUUACCUACGCUUAGGAUGUUGAAGAUGUAGCACAUCAU